rnacentral:misc_RNA from 1 species
GAUGAAGAACGUAGUGAAAUGCGAUAAGUAAUGUGAAUUGCAGAAUUCAGUGAAUCAUCGAAUCUUUGAACGCACAUUGCGCCCCUUGGUAUUCCGAGGGGCAUGCCUGUUCGAGCGUCAUUAUAACCCCUCAAGCUCAGCUUGGUGUUGGGGCCUGCUGCACUGGCAGCCCUUAAAAUCAGUGGCGGCGCCAUCUGGCUCUAAGCGUAGUAAUUCUUCUCGCUAUGGAGUCCUGGUGGAUGCUUGCCAUCAACCCCCAAUUUUUCUAUGGUUGACCUCGGAUCAGGUAGGGAUACCCGCUGAACUUAAGCAUAUCAAUAAGCGGGAGGA